GAUGAACGCUGGCGGCGUGCCUAAUACAUGCAAGUCGAGCGAACAGACGAGGAGCUUGCUCCUCUGACGUUAGCGGCGGACGGGUGAGUAACACGUGGAUAACCUACCUAUAAGACUGGGAUAACUUCGGGAAACCGGAGCUAAUACCGGAUAAUAUAUUGAACCGCAUGGUUCAAUAGUGAAAGACGGUUUUGCUGUCACUUAUAGAUGGAUCCGCGCCGCAUUAGCUAGUUGGUAAGGUAACGGCUUACCAAGGCAACGAUGCGUAGCCGACCUGAGAGGGUGAUCGGCCACACUGGAACUGAGACACGGUCCAGACUCCUACGGGAGGCAGCAGUAGGGAAUCUUGCGCAAUGGGCGAAAGCCUGACGGAGCAACGCCGCGUGAGUGAUGAAGGUCUGCGGAUCGGAAAACGCUGUUAGUAGGGAAGAACAAAUGUGUAAGUAACUAUGCACGUCUUGACGGUACCUAAGCAGAAAGCCACGGCUAACUACGUG
rnacentral:rRNA from 1 species